rnacentral:rRNA from 1 species
GACGAACGCUGGCGGCGUGCCUAAUACAUGCAAGUCGAGCGCAGGAAACUGACGGAACUCUUCGGAGGGAAGGCAGUGGAAUGAGCGGCGGACGGGUGAGUAACACGUAAGGAACCUGCCUCAAGGAUUGGGAUAACUCCGAGAAAUCGGAGCUAAUACCGGAUAGUUCAACGGACCGCAUGGUCCGCUGAUGAAAGGCGCUUCGGCGUCACCUCGAGAUGGCCUUGCGGUGCAUUAGCUAGUUGGUGGGGUAACGGCCCACCAAGGCGACGAUGCAUAGCCGACCUGAGAGGGUGAUCGGCCACACUGGGACUGAGACACGGCCCAGACUCCUACGGGAGGCAGCAGUAGGGAAUCUUCCACAAUGGACGAAAGUCUGAUGGAGCAGCGCCGCGUGAGUGAUGAAGGUUUUCGGAUCGUAAAACUCUGUUGUAAGGGAAGAACACGUACGAGAGGAAAUGCUCGUACCUUGACGGUACCUUACGAGAAAGCCACGGCUAACUACGUGCCAGCCGCCGCCGUAA